rnacentral:rRNA from 1 species
UGCCGGAGAGAAGUUGUUAAGCCUGCUGCUUGGGGAGUACGUCCGCAAGGAUGAAACUUAAAGGAAUUGGCGGGGGAGCACCGCAACGGGAGGAGCGUGCGGUUCAAUUGGAUUCAACACCGGACAACUCACCAGGAGCGACGGUUACAUGAAGGCCAGGCUGAUGACCUUGCCUGAUUUUCC